rnacentral:ncRNA from 1 species
AUAAGAACAGUGAAGAGGAGCAGUAAGAAGCAGAUUUUGUUAUAGAGAAUUGACGGCUGGUGAAAGUCAAUCGAAUCUGUUUCUGAACUCACCUCAGAGUUGCAGCGGUGAAAGCCGCUGACGCAUAACUGCGUUAAAAGUAUCAAGUGAGUGCGGCAUCAGCCGCGCUAACGAGGGUGGUACCGCGGGAAAACGAAAGUCUCUCGUCCCUUUU